rnacentral:rRNA from 1 species
GACGGAGGGUGCAAGCGUUGUUCGGAAUUACUGGGCGUAAAGAGCGCGCAGGCGGUCGUUCAAGUCGCGUGUGAAAGCCCCCGGCUCAACUGGGGAGGGUCACGCGAUACUGAUCGACUGGAAGGCAGGAGAGGGUAGUGGAAUUCCCGGUGUAGUGGUGAAAUGCGUAGAUAUCGAGAGGAACACCUGCGGCGAAGGCGGGUAGCUGGGCCGACACUGACGCUGAGGCGCGAAAGCCAGGGGAGCGAACGGG